CCUGGCGGCUGUAGCGCGGUGGUCCCACCUGACCCCAUGCCGAACUCAGAAGUGAAACGCCGUAGCGCCGAUGGUAGUGUGGGGCCUCCCCAAGCGCGAGU
rnacentral:rRNA from 1 species